rnacentral:siRNA from 1 species
UGGCUGUGUUACUUUCGGAUGC